UGAAUUACUUGAGACUUCGGUUGAUUGUUUUUCUUUUUGGGAUAGUGGCAAACGGGUGAGUAACAUGUGGAUUAUCUGCCCUGAAGACGGGAAUAGCUCAUCGAAAGAUGGGGUAAUACUCGAUAGCCUUACAUUCUUUUAGUUUGUAAGUAAAGCUUUUGCGCUUCAGGAGGAGUCCGCAUCCUAUCAGCUUGUUGGUGAGGUAAUGGCUCACCAAGGCUAAGACGGGUAGCUGGCGUGAGAGCGCGGUCAGCCACCAUGGGAACUGAGACACGGUCCAUACUCCUACGGGAGGCAGCAAUUAGGAAUCUUGCGCAAUGGGGGCAACCCUGACGCAGCGACACAGCGUGGAGGAUGAAGGUCUUCGGAUUGUAAACUCCUUUUAUAUGGGAAGAAUAGAUGACUGUACCAUAUGAAUAAGUACCUGCUAACUACGUGCCAGAAGCAUCGGUGAUGCGUAGGGUGCGAACGUUAUCCGGAUUUAUUGGGCGUAUAGAGAAGCGUAGGUGUUUUUGUAAGUCUUUAGUUAAAUACCACGGCUCAACCGUGGGGAAGCUUCGGAAACUACAGAAAUUGAGACAGGAAUGGGCGAAUGGAAUUCCCAGUGGAGCGGUGAAAUGCGUUGAUAUUGGGAGGAACAUCAGUGGCGAAGGCGAUUCGCUGGUCCUUGUCUGACGCUAAGGCUCGAAAGCGUGGGGAGCGAAACGGAUUAGAUACCCGUGUAGUCCACGCCGUAAACAAUGGACGCUAGGUGUUCGGUACAACUACUUAAUCCUUCGGGAUUGAAUGGAAGUAUUGAGUACUGCAGCUAACGCGUUAAGUGUCCCGCCUGGGAAGUACGGCCGCAAGGCUA
rnacentral:rRNA from 1 species